AUUGAACGCUGGCGGCAUGCCUAACACAUGCAAGUCGAGCGGAUGAAUGGAGCUUGCUCCUGGAUUCAGCGGCGGACGGGUGAGUAAUUCCUAGGAAUCUGCCUGGUAGUGGGGGAUAACGUCCGGAAACGGGCGCUAAUACCGCAUACGUCCUGAGGUAGAAAGUGGGGGAUCUUCGGACCUCACGCUAUCAGAUGAGCCUAGGUCGGAUUAGCUAGUUGGUGGGGUAAAGGCCUACCAAGGCGACGAUCCGUAACUGGUCUGAGAGGAUGAUCAGUCACACUGGAACUGAGACACGGUCCAGACUCCUACGGGAGGCAGCAGUGGGGAAUAUUGGACAAUGGGCGAAAGCCUGAUCCAGCCAUGCCGCGUGUGUGAAGAAGGUCUUCGGAUUGUAAAGCACUUUAAGUUGGGAGGAAGGGCAGUAAGUUAAUACCUUGCUGUUUUGACGUUACCAACAGAAUAAGCACCGGCUAACUUCGUG
rnacentral:rRNA from 1 species